AUUGAACGCUGGCGGCAGGCCUAACACAUGCAAGUCGAACGAGUGGCGGACGGGUGAGUAAUGUCUGGGAAACUGCCUGAUGGAGGGGGAUAACUACUGGAAACGGUAGCUAAUACCGCAUACCAUCGGAUGUGCCCAGAUGGGAUUAGCUAGUGGGUGGGGUAACGGCUCACCUAGGCGACGAUCCCUAGCUGGUCUGAGAGGAUGACCAGCCACACUGGAACUGAGACACGGUCCAGACUCCUACGGGAGGCAGCAGUAGGGAAUCUUGGACAAUGGGCGAAAGCCUGACGCAGCCAUGCCGCGUGUAUGAAGAAGGUUUUCGGGUUGUAAAGCACUUUCGGCAGGGAGGCGUUAUCCACAGAGGAAGCACCGGCUAACUACGUGCCAGCAGCCGCGGUAAUUC
rnacentral:rRNA from 1 species